UACGGGGGGGGCAAGCGUUGUUCGGAAUUACUGGGCGUAAAGGGCUCGUAGGUGGCCAACUAAGUCAGACGUGAAAUCCCUCGGCUUAACCGGGGAACUGCGUCUGAUACUGGAUGGCUUGAGUUUGGGAGAGGGACGCGGAAUUCCAGGUGUAGCGGUGAAAUGCGUAGAUAUCAGGAGGAACACCGGUGGCGAAGGCGGGUCUCUGGGCCGUUACUGACGCUGAGGAGCGAAAGCGUGGGGAGCGAACAGG
rnacentral:rRNA from 1 species